GCCACAUGAUGACGCCAGUGUGCAGCAGCCCUCGGGCUCUGAUGACACCUCACCUAUCACCCUUGUCUGAUGGCU
rnacentral:snoRNA from 1 species